rnacentral:rRNA from 1 species
AUUGAACGCUGGCUGCAGGCCUAACACAUGCACGUCGAGCGGAGCGGCGGACGGGUGCGUAAUGCCUAGGGAGCUGCCUGGUAGUUGGGGAUAACGUCCGGAAACGGGCGCUAAUACCGCAUCCUAUCAGAUGAGCCUCGGUCGGAUUAGCUAGUGGGGGGGUUAAAGGCCUACCAAGGCGACGAUCCGUAACUGGUCUGAGAGGAUGAUCAGUCACACGGGAACUGAGACACGGACCAGACUCCGACGGGAGGCAGCAGGGGGUACUCUUGGGCAAUGGGCGAAAGCCUGAUCCAGCCCUGCAGCGCGUGUGAAGCAGGUUGUCGGAUGGUAAAGCAGUUUUAGUUGGGAGGCGUUACUAACCGAAGAAGCACCGGCUAACUUCGUGCCAGCAGCCGCGGUAAUUC